AAGAAGCAACAGUCUCUGGAGAUGCCUUUCAUCAAUCCUUCGAUCCCUUGAACACAUCCACCACAGCUCCUACAUGUGGCCAGCUUUGUUCUAGCCAGGGUCACUCUUUACUGCCCUUCAGUAAGCUACAUUCCUUCUCUUAAUUCUUUGAACUGAGAGCCUGUGAUGGUUUUUUGAAUAUGCUUGGCUUGUCUCCCCCAUCCCCACCCCCACUAUUAGGAGGUGUGGCCUUGUUAGAGUAGGUGUGGCCUUGUUAGGGAAACUGUUGGGGUGGGCUUUGAGAGUCUCCUCCUAGCUGCCUGGAGACAGUCUUCUCCUGGCUUCCUUUGAAAGUAGAACUCUCAACUCUUCUAGCACCAUGCCCGCCUGGACACUGCCAUGCUUCCUGCCCUGAUGAUAAUGGACUGAACCUCUGAAACUGUAAGUCAGCCCCACUGAAUGUCCUUUUCGAGAGUUGCCUUGGUCAUGGUCUCUUCACAGUGAUGGAAACCCUGACUAAGACAGAAGACCUCUUUAGUCCCCUCCCCGCCCCAUCCACCAUCCACUCAUCCAAUAUGCCUUCAAGACCCAAUUUCAGUCUUCUCUCUGUAGCAUCAUACUAGUCUCAUACUGUUAUGAUUCUUAUUAUUUCUUGAAGGGCGGAGGGCAAGUGCCCUGACGCACAUGUGGAGGCCAGAGAACAGCUUUCCAGUUCUCUCCCUCGACCGUACAUUUCCCAGGGGCUGGACUCAGGCGUGCUGGGAAGAGCGUUUACCCACAGAGCCAGCUCAUCUUUAGAAAUGGAAAGUAGGAAUGUAGCGGGGCAUUGGUGGUGCACACCUUUAACCCCAGCACUCAGGAGGCAGAGGCAGGCAGACGAGCAGAUCUCUUAAAGUUUAAGGCCAGCCUGGUCUACAGAGUGAGUUCCAGGACAGCCAGGGCCACACAAAGGAAAGACAGUCAGACAGAUCAGAGAUGAGUUCCCUCCUUCCUUCCAUCUGUCUAUCCAGUACGACAGAAUACCUACUGUUCACUAUGUGGCUCGGUACUAAAAACCAGGUACUCUUAAGAACUUUAACCUACCUAUAAGGCUGAGCUGGGCAAAGAACAAUGGCUUGGUUUUAGUUAGAUUUAUGUACCAAAAAAGAGUAUCUGUAUGCAACUUGGUCAUUUCUCCUUAAAUCACUAUCUAAUUUUAAUAUAACUAAACAUUUACUGCUAAACUCUUUGGAAUGCACUGUUCAGAUAUACCAAGUCAGAAGGGCAGUACUACUCAAAGCUCUAUGACCUGGAACUUUGCAUAACUUUUGUUUCUUCCUGUGUAAAAUGUGGACAACACUUACUUGCAGCAGUCGUGGGAGUCCAUAUUCAAAACAGGCUAUCACAAACUAUAAAACUUAUGCAAAAACGCUGGCUACCGCUAUGUGAAGUUCUCAAAAUGUGGCCCACUCAUGCUCCUGUAUUCUCUCUCCCUUUUCCUCCCCCCCCAACCCCCAUGGAUUUUCUCUUCCUGUUGUGGUGACUCCAUCCAUAUUAAAGCUCUUUCUACUAAAUAUCAGCCAAGUAUCUGGCCAAAGAAGGGCCCAGCAGUAAGUUUUUGCAUGGAAAACACCUAACCCCAUUCCUCCCUUUACAUAAAGGCUGCCUUCUGCUUGCUGUUCAGUUUAAUGUUACCUUUCUAGAGAUAUUCAAGCUUAAUCAUAAAACCACUGCUUUAAUGCAAAGGAACGCCUCUCAAGGGUUAUCAUCGGGCUGGUGGGACGUUAUCUGUGCUCCUGUGCCUGCCCCUGGAAACUUCUCUGCCUGGUAAAGGCUGCAUUGACUCUGAAGGCCUUCACUUCCCGUGUGUGAUAAAGAGAGGGUCUCAGGCACAGUACAUCACGAAGAACAAGUAUUUAACAGAGGUCUAAUUUCCAUAGAAUCACUCUAACAGAACUAAGAAUGACGCCUGGCUUUUCUUUCCGUCAAGACCUUAUCUGCACUCUCUGCAAAUUAAGUCCUAACUCUCCUGACUCCUGGCUUUUCUUUCCGUCAAGACCUUAUCUGCACUCUCUGCAAAUUAAGUCCUUGGCACUUCCCAGAAUUUCACAGGGCAUGUCCAGGUUUCAUAAAGUCCCUAGAAACGUAACCAGGGCUGUCCUGUCUCUGCCCCCCAGUUCUUCUGUAGAUGCCAACCUCAUUUCGUCCUCUCCCUCACCUGUGCCUGCUGGCCUUCCCUCACCCUGCCCCUUCCUGAAGUGUGGCUUACAGGGCAGUGGAUGGCGCAGACGUGUUCCACUGUAGAUUAUCACAGCUCAGAUUUCCAGCAAACUGGGGAAAUCCCAAUAAGGGUUUUUGCCACACAAAAGAAUCUUUCCUUGCCAUGUUUCCCUUUCUUAUAAAUCUCAAAUCCUUAUAAGAAUCGACUAUAUACCAAGUCUUCUGUGCCAAUAAUAAAACACUCUUUCCCUUUUCCCUCAAUCUACAGCUGUGGUGGUUUGAAUGAAAAUGGCCCCCAUAGGCCCAAAGGGAGUGGCGCUGUUAGGUGUGGCCUUGUUGGAGGAAGUGUGUCACUGGGGGCGGGCCCUCAAGCCAGGUCCAGUGUCACUCUUCCUGCUGCCUGUCAAUCCAGAUGCAGAACUCUCAGCUACAUAGCAGUGACUGUCUACAUGCUGCAGUGUGUGCUGCCUCGAUGAUGAUGGACUGGACCUCUGAACCUAGUUGGGGACCGAACGCAGGGCCUUGUGCUUGCUAGGCAACCGCUCUACCACUGAACCAAAUCCCAACAAUAAUUGUUUUAAAAAACAAAAUAAACUCCCCCCCAAAGCCAAAAGAAACCAACGCCAUAACAACAAAGGGAAGUCUGUGUUGCCAUCGAUACAGAUCCACGCCUGAACAUUAACUAGCAUUUCUUCUUCCUCAAGGAUCGUUUACUUACUUACAUUUAGCCUUCUGGAGACAGGUGCUUCAGAGGGAUUGCAAAGUGUGUUUGUAUAGGGUGGGCACUUGGUUUCAUCUAUCAUCAUGAAGGUAUCAUAGACACCAUCCCCCAACCUAGGAGAACGGGUUGCAGAUAAAACCGGUCAGUAAAUAAACAAAAUGAGCUUGCAUUUUCAAAACACCCCAGGCCCUGUUUCUUACCCUUUCUGACACUGCACAAAAACAAGCUGCGUGUUGAGCAAUGGAAGACAAGAAUCCCAGUCUUUCUCUUUCAUUUUAAAAAUUAAUUUUUUUCUGAGACAGGGUUUCUUACGUAGCCCUGGUUGUUCUAAAACUUGUGAUGUAGACCAGACUGGCCUCAGACUCACACUACUCCACAUCCUGCUCCACCUCUGUACCAACACGUUUCCCUUUUCUUCUUAAAGGAAAAUAUUUCUAGAUUCAAAUUUUAAAAUAGUUACAACAGGCUGGUGCGGUGGCACACUCCUCUAACCCCCUCACUCAGGAGGCAGAGGCAGGUGGAUCUCUAAGUUUGAGGUCAGCCUAGUCUACAGAGUGAGUUCCAGGACAGCCAGAACUACAUAAUAAAGAGACCCGUCUCUAACUAACAAAUAAUAAGUAAUCAAAAUAGUUACAACAAAUCUUACUUUCUGAAUGUUGUUCAAAAAAAAAUGAGACCACCAAUUAAUAUUACUUAAAAAUGAAGACUAAUCUGAAUAGUAAACCUAAACGCAGAAAGAAAUAAACUUGAUGGAGGAGUCUGUUUUAGAAUCCGAGUCCGAGUCCUGAAUUCCAGUCUCAGCACCCAGCUGUGCUGCCUUCCCCCGCUGAACAGGCUCACAGGUAUGGGAAGAAAAAGAACUACUCAGACUAGCAAGGAACAGACUGACCUCUCUUUAUUAUUUUAUGCACCCACUUACAGCUAACCUAACUAGUGAAAAAAGGCAGCCAAGAGGAACCUACCAGGGUGCUUUAAGUUACAAAAUGUUCGGAAUCUCUCUCCUGUUUCCACUUCAUUUCCUGGUAUAUGGGAUGUUUAAAAUGCC